UCACGCAAUCAAAAUUUGUUACACUCAUCAGUGGCUUGUUGCUUCUGGCGAAUUUUGGUGUUUGUCAGGACACUAUAUCACGCCAGCAGACGUGCCAAAGGUUGAAUAAUGUGUUUCAAAGCAUAUGCCACGAUACACCAUUGCCGAUUUCAGUAAGAAAUCAUGGUGUACCCGGGAAGAGAGAACCCAAAGGAGACAUGGGCGCCGCUGGACAGCGUGGAAAUAAAGGAGAAAGUGGUGUAGUAGAUUAUUCCAGGGUUGAUGAAACAAUAUCAAGAAAAGUCAAUGAGCAAAUACAUACUCUCAGUGCUAGAUUGGAAAAACUUGAAGAAUCAGCACAAAUGGAAGCAUCCCCGACAGCAGAGUGUACCAACAAAUGGGACACUGAACGUG